ensembl:lncRNA
UCCACUUUAUACUAUGUACUAAAGGAAAUAAACACAAUCUGGGGUUGACACUAAGGUUUUAAAAGCACUUGCCCAUCGGGCAAGUACAGGUCAGGUUCAACUUGCCCGAAUGUAAUGUUCACUUGCCCAAAUUAUAAUCAGAAUCAUGAACGGGCCUCUUUUUGCCAGGCACCCGGCCUGGUUUCGGGGGGGGCUUAGAAAAAUCAUCCUAGCUCAGACUGAAGCUGAAUGUUAGCUUCCACACAUGUUGUGUUUAAAAAAGAACAAACUUCUCUUUUUUUCCUUAUUUAUCGAGAGGUCACAUCGUGCCAUGAAGUGAUAUCAGUCCACCGUUGCAACCUAUUAAAGCUAUCGCCAAGUUAUAUGUAGACCUGCAUGAUUUUAUGCAAAUGUACAUAACUAAAUGUCAGAGGUAGUAGCAAAGAUAUGUCUUCUUUAACUUUCAAGUUUCUUGUAGCUCUAACUGAAUAAUCACAAUCGCGUUUCUAGUAGUGUUGUCAGUCACGAUACUGGAUUUUCUAACUUCGAUAAAAUACGACAGUGUUACCCCUUAUAUUUUAUUUGACAAAGACAACUGUGUUACCCCCAAUGUAUUUUUUCAUGACGACCAAAGAAAAACGACAGUGUCACCCCUCAUGUUUCAUUUGAUAAAAACGAAAGUGUUACCCCCUAUGUUUUAAUUAAUAAAUAUCGACAGUGUUACCCCUUAUGUUUUUCUUCAUGACGACCAAUAAAAAACGACAGUGUUACCCCUUAUGUUUUUUUUCAUGACGACCAAUAAAAACAACAGUGUUACCCCUUAUAUGUUUUUUCAUGACGACCAAUAAAAAAACAACAGUGUUACCCCUUGUUUUUUUUCAUGACGACCAAUAAAAAACAACAGUGUUACCCCUUAUGUUUUUUUCACGACGACCAAUAAAAAACAACAGUGUUACCCCUUAUGUUUUUUUUUCAUGACGACCAAUAAAAAACAACAGUUGUUACCCUUAUGAUUUUUUUCAUGACGACCAAUAAAAAACAACAGUGUUACCCUUUAUGUUUUUUUUCAUGACGACCAAUAAAAAACAACAGUGUUACCCCUUAUGGUUUUUUCAUGACGACCAAAGGAAAACGUCAGUGUCACCCCUCAUGUUUCAUUUGAUAAAAGCGACAGUGUUACCCCCUAUGAUUUAAUUGAUAAAUAUCUACGGUGUUGCCCCUUAUGUUUUUUUUCAUGACGACC